UGAAGCUGGUUUCAAGUUACUAAAGAGAAAUUUUACAUGGAAGGUGGAAGAGGUCACCCACUGGACUCGAGAAGCAGAGCAGGCCGAGGCUGAAGCUUGUGGGUGAGGCAAGGAGCCACCUUUCAGCUGUGACGGAAAGGAUGAACCCCAAGCCCAGUGAAGCCCAUCCUUGUCACAUCCACAGCGUCUACAACUGCCUGCUAUUUUGAUAUGGCGGCCUGCAAACUUCCCCCUGGGGAGGAACAACAGAAGCAUUGUCCCAUGGGAGGAGAGAAAAGGAGUUCAAGUUAGUUGUUUUUCCAAAUCCUAAAGAGUUAAGUCCAGCAGCAUUCGUGGUCACAGAGGCAUCGUGCUGAUGUCCCUCCUGAAGAUCCAAGAGACGGCGCUGGGGAAACUUGGCCACGAAGCCGACUGACUGUCACAGACCGUCCCUGCCCUGCAGGUUGGAGACUGCGAGCUCGGCCUUCAUCUCGCAGCAGGUACUGCCCCGCCGCGCCAGCCGUGCCAGCCGGCUGCGGAGGCCCUUCCCUCCGAUAAAGCAGCAGUAUUGAGAGUGUCAAAAGAAAGAAUCGGCCCAGAGCAACACGUGCCUCCUUCUGAGGUGAGCGCAGCGGCCUCUGGGGAAGAGGACAGUUGGCUUUCACUUUCUCAGCACCGUGGAGAGCACCACUUUGUCUCUUCAGCCCAUCCUGUCACCUGCAGAGAGGCUGGAGCCUUCUCUGUGGCUCUCACAGCAGCCCUACAAGCUGCCUCAGAAGAGCAACCUUCCCCAGCUGGUGCCUCCUGAGACCCUGCUACAGUGCCCCAGCCACUUUGCGUCCUAGCGGAAGUGGGAGUGGGUGACUCAGAGCGGCCUCCCCGCACACGCCAGGGUGGUGACGCCAGUAGCUCCAGACAACGUAGGUCAAAUGGACACCAGCCUUCAGGGAGCAGGGACUGUGUCGUCUCUGCCCAGCUCCACCUCAGAGGUGUCCGUGCACCUCUGCUUACCCCGGCACUCUCCCUCCCACUCGACCGCAGCAAG